CAGGGUUUGUGGUUGUUGUCUGCCGACCCUUCAAUGCUCUGCCAUGGUGAAACCACGUGGCUCAGGGUUUGAUGUCGUUUUACGACGUUGCUGCAGUCGGCGCUGUUCUUAUCAUGGUGAACUUACCUGGCUUAGGGUUUGUUGUCGUUCUCCACCAUCUCUGCAGGCCGCGCUGAUCUCCCAUGGCGAAGCUGCGUUCCGGUUUUGCCUGUUUUCGUCUGGCAGAUCUUCGAGUUCGUGGUGUUCCUGAUGGUAUCGAUUAGGUCUUCCCUUGAUCUGUCUUGUAUUUUGGUUCUUUUUGUCAGAUCCCCAUACUAUUUCUCUCAUCCGAUCUGCUUUUCCUUGAGAUUCUCCUGGUUUCUCGUCGAUUCGUUAGUGAAUUUCUUUCCUCCUAUAUUGCUGUCACUUGGAUGGGUAUGCUGCAACAAAAGCAUCGAUCAUCGAUCUGAGUUGCGGAUCCUCUAUGUGAGGUUGAUAUUUCGUGUCAUAACUCUUGUAUGCAGGGAAGGGGAUGAUUUCUUUUCUGCUUGUUAAGCAGUUCCAUGGCUGAAAACAUAUGAUAGAGUUUCAUCCACCAGACGAUCGCGUCGCCUAGAUCUACGGAUCCUAGCUAUUUCUAGGUUACCUUAGAUUCUUUCUCAGGCGCCUAUGAUCAUGUUUCUUGGAUCAGGAGUUCGGUAGAUGACUGUUCGUGUUCCAUGGAUUUUGUUGAUCGUACGUCUCUUUUAUAAGUACAGAGGAACUCGAACCAUGGGGCGGUUUAUGAUUGUCAGAGUAUGUUCUACGAUAGCAAAUUCGUAUUAAAGGUGUAAAAUUAUGAUAUUCCCUGUGGCUGGGAACAAGCGGGUAUUGAUUGAGGGAAGGUAAUUUGGAACUGAACUUUGUUAUAUGGGCCUUUGCCAUGUUGGGUGCGCUCGCAUGGCAGGUCACCUAUCCUUAAUAAAAUUUUAUUUUUUUGGGUGUGCUUGUGGGGAGAUCGCACGGGGUAUUGUUAUUUAUCCCUGGGUUCUCCUCCACUUUGUGGUGUUGCGUCAUCGGUUCCUUUUUGCCCCUGCAUAUUUGCAUCCGCAUAGCGUUAUGUCGCCCCACUAAAUAUCUUAAGACUUCAUUAUUUGGGUUGGUACGAAAUCAUUUUCGGAGUGAUGAGGUCUAUUUUGUUUUUGGGUUUCCAUAGAUACUGUCAUGCAUUUAAAACAGUCAUUGACACAUUAUGCAGCUCUUUCCAGAGAGAUUGAGCAUACUCAGUUACUUUAAAACAACCGCUUUAAUGAUUAGCACAAUAAGUUAUUCUAUUAUUUAUUUAAUUACAACAUUCCUUCUCCCUUUGCGAUUAGCUUCCAGCCAAAUUUGUAGACACAUGCAAUGGUAAUUUGAUAUGUCGAGACUACUUCAAUGGUCAGUGUCACUAAGAUCGUGCUGCAUCUUAUUUACACUUUCAUACAUUGUGACUGGACCAUGUAAGGUUCCAUAUUGUUGCAUCCUCAUGUAUUCGUUUCAGUAUAAGAUCGUCAACCCUGAAUAGUCGAUGAGGGUCAAUCGCCAAUUGCUGGUUGUUAUGGUUUGAGAAUUGAAAUUUCGUUUUUCUGUUCUUGUUUUCGAAGUAGUUUCAAUAUCACUGGUACUUGAGAUUUAGGUCAUUUGGAUUUUGAAUGACCUGCAGCAGAGACAAUAAUCUUCAUUUUCAGAAGAACAUGACCAUACAUCAAUGUACUUUUGUAUUGGGCCUCUUGUGUUGCAGGAGCUGGAGAUUUCUUCCAUUUAGGGAGCAUGUACGAGGAAAAAGAAGCUUAUUUCAGAUCCAUGGAGCUUGACGUGUUCCAAGGAAUUUGGUGACCAGCUGUUAUUAAUCAUCGGAGGAACUAGCGGUAUGGAUACAUUGGGCUAUCAGAGGUUCCCUGUGUGCUUCUGGUGGUGAUCUCAUGGGACGUUUCUUGAUUCCUUGCUCUUACUCUCCAGUUGCUCUUUCUCUUACGCCGUUAUUUGCUUUGUGGUUAAUCUAAAUUUUUUAGGUGUUUUGGAUUUUACUUCCAUGGGAGGUAUAUACCACUGUGCACAGACGUAACUCUCAACAUUGACUUAUGUUACAUUGAAUAGGAAUAUGUGGAUGAUCUUGAAUUGUUGCAAACAUGAUCUUCGUUUAUCUUUCACUUUUUAUAGCCAAUUUGAUGUGGUGAAAAAGGUCACCACCAUGAACUCUUUUUAAUCUUAUCUGGGUUGAAAUGUCUACUAAUUGUUAUAUCCUUUGUUGAGGGUUAGGUAUUGUUGUCAUGAGAUUGUUUUUCAGUUGCUUUAUUGAUAGUUAAAGUUUUGGUGUCGUUUUUUUAUGAAGCUGUUGUUUUAUUUGGUCUUAUUUUGAUGUGUCUUCUGAUUUGUUUGUGCAAUGUUGUUAUAAUGGCGAAAUGGAGUCACAAUUGUAUGAACGUCCAUUCUGCUAAUUUGACUUUUUAAGCCGGACCAAGUCAUUUGAUGGCUUUCUCCGGAAGAUACAGGAGAUCGACUGGUGUUAACUGUUAAUAUAAUUUAAUUUGACUGGUAUGAUGAACUGAUGGCUUUCACCAAUUUAGUUUGAGACCAAAGUAGUUCUAUUUUUGUCGUGAAUUCUUUAUGCAUUAGUUCAUGAUGGUAUCUGCUUGUUUUGAAGCAGUAGGAAGAUACUUCUUAUGAAUGUAAAUGUAUGAUUAGAUUGUUUUCAAAGUAACCGACAGAUAUACUCUUUAUUUAAUGUGUUCUAUAAUUUUGAUGAUAAAAAAGCUGGUGUCUAAGUAGAAUGAAAUCAAGAAUCGCUGUUUAGCUGCACUUAAAUUCUUCUCUUCUUGCAUUUGAUUAUGAGCAAGUUCGUCGGAAGUCAUUUUGUGAAUCGGAGGUAGGGGUGAAAGUGAAAUUAUUUUUCUCGGAAUAGAAAAAUAAUUUCUAUUCAACCGGUGGAUAAAAAUCCGUAGGUGAGGCUCGCAGCGGGUUGUCUUGUUGGGUCUUUAAGCUCAAAAUGGCAAGAGCGCUCAAAUCAUUUGAAAGUGAAUAUCGGGUACUUUUGAAUGCCUUGAGAGGUUGGUGGUUCGAGCCCACCGAGAUCCUUUCAUGUUUGUCAGCGGCCGUAUGUUUUUUUAAUCUUUGUAUUGAGGUCUGAACAGAAAAUUUUCUGAUUAAAAUGGUUUUCGACAAUUAGUUCUUUUAUUGCUUACAUAUUUUGAGGAUGGUGUGAUCUCUUCACGUCUUUUUUAUGUGAACGUACUAAAUUAAACUUGUGAAACAGAGUUUUAUGGGAAAGGAUUAAGCUUGGACCACCUGCAGCUCGUUAGUUCUUUCGAGACUAUCCAGCUAAGCAGGAGCUUCAGCCAUGGCGGGUCUAUUGAUACGAGAACGUAUCCUCUACGAUCUUCUUUUAGAACGAGACGGGGGAAGUCCAGACGUUGAAGAAGUGGAGUUUAAAGUGCAAACAUACCGGGGAAGUCCAUUAUUGCUUUGAUGUGUUAUUACAAAUCAAUUAUGAUGACCGGGUUCCCGAUACACAUGGUCUUAUGGUUGUAAACUGGACGAGAGCGCGACAAAGCCCAGGGAAGCGUGGAAGGCAAAUCCCCACCAGGCGAGCCUCGUGUCCAACAUGUGGCACGAGGUUUGUGAAAAAGUUCCACGUGUUCUCUCCUUUGAGCGUCCUUCCUCCACUCGGUGAUCCAUGUAAAGACGGCAGCGAACAAAAUUGGUGGGUUCUGAGAACGGGAAAGAUCGAAGUGAAACGACAUGGGAGGGCAGGUUGACAUCAUGCUCCGUUUAGGCCACAGCGUAGCGGGAGUAAUUCGCCUGAAUCCCAGCCCAAUCGCACUCCUGACCCCCGUGGGACGUAGAGGCGGCCCAGUCUGCUUCGUCUCUGGCGCGACACCUGAGAAGAAGGAGAGGAAGAUGGACGAAGACGAAGAGCAGCAUACUGAUUCCGUUAACACCUAUCAAGGGGAUGCGAUGAGUCACUCCUUUGGGGAAGCGUACGCGACGCGCUCAGACUGGGAAGGUUUUGGAGGCAUCUACGGCCGAAAUCCUUCGGAUAUAACUCAUCCCGGUAUGUUUGUUUUUUCCCCUGAACUAAAUCAUAGAUUUCUCAUCCUCAAAUAAGAAAGUGUCACUUGAUUCUCUUUUUUUCUCUCUCUCUUAAAAAAAAAAAAAAGAAGAAUACGACAAGGCGCAGGGGAGCGAGGUGAAGGAAAAGGAGAAGGCUCCCAACCAAGCCACAUGAUGAGUCUUAGGCUUUUGUUACUUGUUUCCCGUUGUCUACGUAUUUACCUGGUAACUCGAUGCUACUUCUCUUUGCUGAAAUCCCUGUUAUGACAGUUAUCUUUAAGAAAUAAAUAACUUUAACAACUCUUUAAGUA